AGGAUGGGCUCCUGAGCUAAGGAGCAGCACCUUGGACAGAGCAGUGCUGGGCAGGCUUGGGGGAGCAGAGCAGAGCUCCAGCCCAGAUACCUGCCAGGCUGCGGCCCUUGCUGGAAGGGAUCGAGAAGGUGCAUAGGGCCAAAGGGGAAAUGGCCCAGGGAAACUAGGAAGACAAGAAGGGAGAGGAGGAGGACAGAUGGAGGCUGCUGCUAGAAGGUCCUUGGGUCAGGACCCAGACUAGUGGGAGGGCCUGGGUCCCCCCUAUUCCCCCUUGCAUUGCCCGUGGCCACGAAGGAGAGGGGCCGAGACAGGCCGCAACUGGCUCCUGAGACGAGGGCCUAGACUCUAGGUUUGUGGUGGGCCACCGAGGCAGGGACAAACAGGGACUGCUGUUAACAACGACCCCCCCGAAGGGGGUGAGACCAGAGUAGUGGGCACUGCUGGAGGGCAGUGUCCUGAAGCGGAUGGAGACUGUCCUGAAGAGGACACUGCCGAGCAGGGAGCAACGCAGGUCCCAGGGCAGCAGAACGGAGACAACAGGUGCCCUAGGCAGAACUGAUAUCAAGCAGCCAGUCUCUGCAGAAACAUCUGGUGGAGGAGACCUGCACCUGACUAGCACUCACCCUUCAGUUACAGAUAAAUGGAUUUUCUGAGCAGUUUGGACCAAGAACCAUUGACUUCCCACCAUGUUCUUCACCUCGGGGUCAGUUAUUUUGUUGGCUGCGAUUUCAAGGACCUUCAGAGACGCGGUCACACAAACUGAAGGCACGGCUGUUAGCGAAGAAGGAGCACCUUUGGUUAUUGAGUGUACCUAUGAGUCUACCCUAUUCCCUUCUCUCCUCUGGUAUAUUCAACACCCCAGUAAAGCACCAAAGUUUUGGCUGAGAGAUAAAACAUCAGGGGGUGGCCAAGAUGAAGGGGACAAGCAGUUUUUUUUGCUAACCAUGUCCAAGACAAGAAAUCCUUCCAUUCAAGAAAAGCACAGUGAAAUGAACGACUCUGCAGUCUGUUACUGCACUGUCAGAGACACAGUGAUUACAACCAGCAGGGGAGCUGAAAAAAAAAUCCACUGAAGCACAAAGUCCAAAAUUUCUGUCUUUGGCGGGAAAAAGUUUAUAUUUUCAUAACUUGACUUCAGCAUAGUAUAUAAGCACUGCACCUUCAGGGAAAACAGAGGAAAGAGCUGUCAUCUAGUGGAGAGAGGAACAAAAAGAACCAAUGGCUGGAAGAUAAGCCCAGACCAGGGCCGGUGCAAGUAUGUUUCGCGCCCUAGGUGAAACUUCCACCUUGCGCUGCCCCCGCCUGGAGGCC